rnacentral:sRNA from 1 species
GCUGGGCAUGGUAGUCUGUGCCUAUAAUCCCGGUUACUCAGGAGGCUGAGGCAGGAGCAUCACAAGUUCAAGGGCAGCCUGGGCAACUUAGUGAGACCUUGUCUCAA